rnacentral:rRNA from 1 species
UACGAAGGGGGCUAGCGUUGCUCGGAAUUACUGGGCGUAAAGGGCGCGUAGGCGGAUCGUUAAGUCAGAGGUGAAAGCCCAGGGCUCAACCCUGGAAUUGCCUUUGAUACUGGCGAUCUUGAGUACGGGAGAGGUGUGUGGAACUCCGAGUGUAGAGGUGAAAAUUCGUAGAUAUUCGGAAGAACACCAGUGGCGAAGGCGACACACUGGCCCGUUACUGACGCUGAGGCGGCGAAAAGCCGUGGGGAGCAAACAGGGAUUAAGAUACCCGGG